rnacentral:rRNA from 1 species
UACGUAGGGGGCAAGCGUUAUCCGGAUUUACUGGGUGUAAAGGGAGCGUAGACGGCGUGCCAAGUCUGAUGUGAAAGGCCGGGGCUCAACCCCGGGACUGCAUUGGAAACUGGCAGUCUUGAGUACAGUAGAGGUGGGCGGAAUUCGUGGUGUAGCGGUGAAAUGCUUAGAUAUCACGAAGAACUCCGAUUGCGAAGGCAGCUCACUGGACUGCAACUGACACUGAGGCUCGAAAGUGUGGGUAUCAAACAGG